UCUCACCCUAAAGACCUGGUUGGUGGCGGGGUGGCGGGGAGUGCGGGGUCCUGGAUUACCUUGCACAUGGAGCCAGGGUCUCCAGGGAAGGGAGGGACUUAGAUACCCAACCGUGGCCCCUCAAGAAAUGAAAUCAGGCAGGCACGUCCAUCCGAGUGGGCUCUGAAACUCCCUCCUAACACCCACUGGCUGAUAAGAAACCCACCUGCCAAAGUUCGAGAGCCCAGGCUGAUGGAAGCUCGGUUGUGGACGAGAGGAACGAUGAGCUUUCAACUUUCAAACCACCUCUGCUCGGACCCCUGGUUCUAUCUCUGCCCUUCGCCUUUGGCAGCUGUCGUUGGUUAUGUGCCCAGCUCAGCGUAACAGACCUUCCAGCUGGUAUAAAGAAUGGUGACAAAAAGACUUGGAGAAGAAAUGGGUAUGAUUGAGUGUGGUCCACGCCGUCACUGGGGAGAGCCCAGAUGCAGCUCCAUGGCGACAGAUGGACCUUCAGAUCCAUCAUGAUGGAC
rnacentral:lncRNA from 9 species